rnacentral:rRNA from 1 species
GAUGAACGCUGGCGGCGUGCUUAACACAUGCAAGUCGAACGAUGAAGCCGGAGCUUGCUCUGGUGGAUUAGUGGCGAACGGGUGAGUAACACGUGAGUAACCUGCCCUUGACUCUGGGAUAAGCGCUGGAAACGGCGUCUAAUACCGGAUACGAGCUUCCACCGCAUGGUGAGUUGCUGGAAAGAAUUUCGGUCAAGGAUGGACUCGCGGCCUAUCAGCUUGUUGGUGAGGUAACGGCUCACCAAGGCGACGACGGGUAGCCGGCCGGAGAGGGUGACCGGCCACACUGGGACUGGGACACGGCCCAGACUCCUACGGGAGGCAGCAGUGGGGAAUAUUGCACAAUGGGCGCAAGCCUGAUGCAGCAACGCCGCGUGAGGGACGAAGGCCUUCGGGUCGUAAACCUCUUUUAGCAGGGAAGAAGCGAAAGUGACGGUACCUGCAGAAAAAGCACCGGCUAACUACGUGCCAGCCGCCGCCGUAAAAC